GACCACAUCAUGUUCAAACACCAGGUCCUCAUAUGAUCACCAAAGUUAAGCAAUGUUGAGCUUGAUCAGUACCUAGAUGAGUGACCCCUUAGGAAUAUCAGGUGCUGUAAG